rnacentral:rRNA from 1 species
GAUGAACGCUGGCUACAGGCUUAACACAUGCAAGUCGAGGGGAAACGACGGGGAAGCUUGCUUCCCCGGGCGUCGACCGGCGCACGGGUGAGUAACGCGUAUCCAACCUGCCUCUGACUGAGGGAUAACCCGUCGAAAGUCGGCCUAAUACCUCAUGGCAUCGUCUGCGGGCAUCCAACGACGAUUAAAGAUUUCAUCGGUCAGAGAUGGGGAUGCGUCUGAUUAGCUUGUUGGCGGGGUAACGGCCCACCAAGGCGACGAUCAGUAGGGGUUCUGAGAGGAAGGUCCCCCACAUUGGAACUGAGACACGGUCCAAACUCCUACGGGAGGCAGCAGUGAGGAAUAUUGGUCAAUGGGCGAGAGCCUGAACCAGCCAAGUAGCGUGCAGGAUGACGGCCCUAUGGGUUGUAAACUGCUUUUAUGCGGGGAUAAAGUGAGUGACGUGUCCUUCAUUGCAGGUACCGCAUGAAUAAGGACCGGCUAAUUCCGUG